rnacentral:snRNA from 1 species
GGCUGCAAAGGGCGAUCUGGCUGCGAUAUCUGUCACCCCAUUGAUCGCCAGGGUUGAUUCGGCUGAUCUGGCUGGCUAGGCGGGUGUUCCCUUCCUCCCUCACCGCUCCAUGUGCAUCCCUCCCGAAGCUGCGCACUCGGUCGAAGAGGACGACCUUCCCCGAAUAGAGGAGGACCGGUCUUCGGUCAAGGGUAUACGAGUAGCUGCGCUCCCCUGCUAGAACCUCCAAACAAGCUCAUGGCAUUUUCUUUCAAAACACCACAGGGAUCAUCUACAUUAGGUUGGUAUGUGGGGGUGCCUGUAC